rnacentral:rRNA from 1 species
CCAAUAGCGUAUAUUAAAGUUGUUGCAGUUAAAAAGCUCGUAGUUGAAUUUCGGGAUCAGUACGCUGGUCGUGCCUUCGGUAUGCACUGGUGUCACUGGUUCCUCCCUUCUGAAGAACCGUCAUGCCAUUCAGUUGGUGUGGCGGGGAAUCAGGACUGUUACUUUGAAAAAAUUAGAGUGUUUAAAGCAGGCUCGCGCUUGAAUACAUUAGCAUGGAAUAAUGAAAUAGGACGUUUGAUCCUAUUUUGUUGGUUUCUAGGAUCGACGUAAUGAUUAAUAGGGAUAGUUGGGGGCAUUAGUAUUCAAUUGUCAGAGGUGAAAUUCUUGGAUUUAUUGAAGACUAACUACUGCGAAAGCACUUGCCAAGGAUGUUUUCAUUAAUCAAGAACGAAAGUUAGGGGAUCGAAGACGAUCAGAUACCGUCGUAGUCUUAACCAUAAACUAUGCCGACUAGGGAUCGGAUGAUGUUAAUUUUUUAAUGACUCAUUCGGCGCCUUACG